GUUGAUCCUGCGGGAGGCUGCUGCUAUCAGGGUUCGAUUUAACCAUGCAAGUCAGGGGGUUCUUCGGAACACCGGCAGAAUGCUCAGUAACACGUCAAUAAUCUGGUCUUAGGUCCAGGAUAACCUUGGUAAACUGAGGCUAACACUGGAUAGGAUAUCAAUUCUGGAACGAGGAUAUCUCAAAAGUAAUGCCUAAGAAUGAGUUGGCGGCUGAUUAGGUAGUUGAUGGUGUAAAGUACCACCAAGCCAAUGAUCAGUAGGGGCCUUGAGAGAGGGAGCCCCGAGAAGGGCACAGAGAUACUUGCCCUAGCCCUACGGGGUGCAGCAGGUGCGAAACCUUUACAAUGCACGAAAGUGUGAUAAGGGAACCCUGAGUGCCUAUGUUUUCAUAGGCUUUUGUUAAGGGUAAAUACCUUAGCGAAUAAGUGGUGGGUAAGACUGGUGCCAGCCGCCGCGGUAACACCAGCGCCACGAGUAGGAGCCGCGUUUAUUGGGUCUAAAGUGUCUGUAGCUGGAUAAGUAACUCUUUUGUGAAAUUGUCAAGCUUAACUUGACAGCUUGCAGAAGAAACUGCUUGUCUUGGGACUGGAAGGAGUCAGGAGUAUUUCUGGGGGAGCGGUAAAAUGCUAUAAUCCCAGAAGGACUACCUGUGGCGAAGGCGCCUGACUAGUACAGGUCCGACAGUGAGAGACGAAAGCCAGGGGAGCGAACCGGAUUAGAUACCCGAGUAGUCCUGGCUGUAAACGCUGCGAGCAAGGUGUUGCAUAUUCUACGUGGAUAUGCAGUGUUGAAACGAAGGUGUUAAGCUCGCCACCUGGGGAGUACGGUCGCAAGGCUGAAACUUAAAGGAAUUGGCGGGGGAGCGCCACAAGGGGUGCGGCGUGCGGUUUAAUCUAAUUCAACACAGAGAAUCUCACCAGGGGCGACGGCAGGAUGAAAGUCAAUCUAAAGGGUUUACUUGACGAGCCGAGAGGUAGUGCAUGGCCGUCGUCAGCUCGUGCCGCGAGGUGUCCUCUUAAGUGAGGCAACGAGCGAGAUCUGUAUCUACACUUGCUAACAAAUCCUUCAGGAUGAUUGAGCACACUGUAGAGACUGCCUUGGAAACAAGGAGGAAGGUGCAGGCGACGAUAGGUCUGUAUGCUCCGAAUCCUCUGGGCUACACGCGCGCAACAAUGGUAGGAACAAUGGGCCACAACUCCGAAAGGAGAAGUUAAUCCUCGAAAUCCUAUCCAAGUCCAGAUUGAGGGUUGUAACUCACCCUCAUGACGAUGGAAUCCCUAGUAAUUGGGUGUUAUCAGCGCCCAGUGAAUAUGUCCCCGCUCCUUGCACACACUGCCCGUCAAAUCAACCGAGCAGGGUUUUGAUGAGGCUUAAUCAUUAGGUUGAGUCGAAUCUAAGCUCAGUGAGGUGGGUUAAGUCGUCACAAGGUA
rnacentral:rRNA from 1 species